rnacentral:rRNA from 1 species
AUUGAACGCUGGCGGCGUGCUUAACACAUGCAAGUCGAUCGGUAACGCGGGGGCAACCCUGGCGACGAGAGGCGGACGGGUGAGGAAUGCGUCGGAAUCUACCCUAUGGUGGGGGAUAACACAGGGAAACUUGUGCUAAUACCGCAUGAUGUCGAGAGACCAAAGCAGGGGACCGCAAGGCCUUGCGCGAUAGGAUGAGCCGACGCCCGAUUAGCUAGUUGGUAGGGUAAUGGCCUACCAAGGCGACGAUCGGUAGCUGGUCUGAGAGGAUGAUCAGCCACACUGGGACUGAGACACGGCCCAGACUCCUACGGAGGCAGCAGUGGGGAAUAUUGGACAAUGGGCGCAAGCCUGAUCCAGCAAUGCCGCGUGUGUGAAGAAGGCCUGCGGGUUGUAAAGCACUUUUGUUCGGGAAGAAAUCAUGUUGGUUAAUACCUGACAUGGAUGACGGUACCGAAAGAAUAAGCACCGGCUAACUUCGUGCCAGCCGCCGCGGUAACAC